UGGGGAAUUUUGGACAAUGGGGGAAACCCUGAUCCAGCCAUCCCGCGUGUGCGAUGAAGGCCUUCGGGUUGUAAAGCACUUUUGGCAGGAAAGAAACGUCAUGGGUUAAUACCCCGUGAAACUGACGGUACCUGCAGAAUAAGCACCGGCUAACUACGUGCCAGCAGCCGCGGUAAUACGUAGGGUGCAAGCGUUAAUCGGAAUUACUGGGCGUAAAGCGUGCGCAGGCGGUUCGGAAAGAAAGAUGUGAGAUCCCAGAGCUCAACUUUGGAACUGCAUUUUUAACUACCGGGCUAGAGUGUGUCAGAGGGAGGUGGAAUUCCGCGUGUAGCAGUGAAAUGCGUAGAUAUGCGGAGGAACACCGAUGGCGAAGGCAGCCUCCUGGGAUAACACUGACGCUCAUGCACGAAAGCGUGGGGAGCAAACAGG
rnacentral:rRNA from 1 species